rnacentral:ribozyme from 1 species
AUAAAUAUUGUUGGCCUCAACGUUCGGCUAGAGACGCUGCUACUGUCAACGAGGGCAUUUGUCCACUUCGGUUGACUUCGCAUGGAAUUUCA